AUUACUCUAAUUAAAUCCUUUAACCAAAACCUGUCUCCUUUCCCUGAAAUCGCCGCCCGUCUCCGCCAUAGCUCCGCCGCCCGGAAAUCGCCUCACGGCGGCGGAGCACCUCCAAAUCCCUCCACAUUUUAACCAGCCAAUCCUCAUCGUCCCCUCGUUCACGUCCUACCAUUGAUUCCCCCAAAAGACCACUCAAUCUUUUCGAAUUGCAGAUCCGAAAAAUAAAAAUCCAAGCUUUUUCUUUUUUUGCCCUAAUUUUCCAGAUUAAAUCUUCAAUUCGUGAUAAAACCCGUGUGAAAUCCCCAGUUUUUCAACAAAGGGAGUGCGUUGAUGUCAAAAAUGCCUUAUCCCAUAGAUUUGGCCGGAUUCCGGGCGACUGACCACUGUUUAUCCCAAGUUCAUUGAGCCUCUGCCUCAUCUUCUCUUCGGGAUGUGUUGAGAAUUGUUGCAUGAAGCACUAGCUGUGGAAAAGAGUCCAGCCAGUGUUCAUGUUGCAAUUCUCACCACUUGGCCGAGAUUCUUGCCCAUUCGAGUUCGAGUUGAUUCGUCCCUGUUUCUCGAGGAUAUCGAAGCUUGUUCGAUUCAAUUGAUUUGACCAUCAAUUGGCCAGAUUUGUCAAGUUGGGACCAACAGUGGAAUAAGGGCAUAUUUGAUAGAUUUAGGCGCAGCUUAGAAGCUAGCCUUUCCAUUUUUAGAUUGUUUACUUAUUGGGUAUUAUGUUGAUGUAAUUAAAUAGUCAUUUCCUUCUCAUGAAUAUUUGAAUGCAUUGGUGUAAAAGCUUUCUUUAGUUGUCGCAUGAGUUUUUUUUGGGUUCA